GAUGAACGCUGGCGGCGUGCCUAAUACAUGCAAGUCGAGCGAAUGGAUUAAGAGCUUGCUCUUAUGAAGUUAGCGGCGGACGGGUGAGUAACACGUGGGUAACCUGCCCAUAAGACUGGGAUAACUCCGGGAAACCGGGGCUAAUACCGGAUAACAUUUUGAACCGCAUGGUUCGAAGUUGAAAGUCUGCUUCGGCUGUCACUUAUGGAUGGACCCGCGUCGCAUUAGCUAGUUGGUGAGGUAACGGCUCACCAAGGCAACGAUGCGUAGCCGACCUGAGAGGGUGAUCGGCCACACUGGGACUGAGACACGGCCCAGACUCCUACGGGAGGCAGCAGUAGGGAAUCUUCCGCAAUGGACGAAAGUCUGACGGAGCAACGCCGCGUGAGUGAUGAAGGCUUUCGGGUCGUAAAACUCUGUUGUUAGGGAAGAACAAGUGCUAGUUGAAUAAGCUGGCACCUUGACGGUACCUAACCAGAAAGCCACGGCUAACUACGUGCCAGCAGCCGCAGUAA
rnacentral:rRNA from 1 species